GAUAAAAGAAUGUUGAAGUUUGUGGUGUUUUCAUGAUAAGUUGAAUCGUUGAUCUAAGUAGAGCAAGGCACCUUUGCUUGAGAUAGUUUUCGAGCCUGAUAUAAAAACCGGUGUUGAAGCAGCAGAGCAUGCAGCAAAAAUACAGAGAUUGGUUCAAUAUUUGGGAGUGAGCAAUAGAAAUAUGAAAACUUUUUCUAUAUUAACAGUGGUGGGUGCUUUUAGUAUCUAAAUCUACUAUCAGCAUAAGUACAUAAUUCAAGGUUCAGCCCAUUAUGUACAAGCACAAAUAUAGUGGAGGUCAUGGUUCUCUAUGGAUUUUGACAGCAAAGCUACAAAGGCUUCUCGAUAGUGUAAUAUGAAGA